CUAUGAAAAUGGGGUAUAAAUAUAACUGACGUAUGAAUACAAUUUGAAUUGGUUAUUGAACACGUCUCUGCUAUUCAUUUCCAAUUUCCAGAGCUCUGUAUGAGUUGGCAAAUAUCCAUCAUCCACAAAGGGCCAGGCUGAUUUUAUCCCCAACAAAUUGGUGUCAGAAGUUUGGGUGCAAUUAGGAACGGAGUUGCAGGUAAGGGGGUCUUUAGCCCCUUGGGGACACAACUUCUGGAAUUUAAGGGUAUCAUGAUGGAGUAUUUCUGUCGUGUGUCCUUAAGGGGUUGGGGACCUUUGCCUGCUUCUGCCAUCCUCCCACACAUUGCAUUUCUUGUUUUAAUGGGGUUUUUCACUAUUUACAUUUUUAAAGGGGAUUUUCACAGGAUAAUGUCUUUGGUAGACAUGGUAUUUUGUUAAGUCUUAGGUAGACUUCUAUUACUCCACGGGUUGGAGGAUUGCCUUUGGUAGGUAGUAGUAGUUAUUGUGCACAUUUCCUCUUUGGUAAGAGGUUCACCUUUGGCCAGGUGUUAAAAAUAAUUUCAAGCCUUUGGUAGGCUGUGAUGUACCUGUGAUGUACACUUACAUAUGGGAGACGUCCC